UACGGGGGGGGCAAGCGUUGUUCGGAAUUACUGGGCGUAAAGGGUUCGUAGGUGGCCGACUAAGUCAGACGUGAAAUCCCUCAGCUCAACUGGGGAACUGCGUGUGAUACUGGAUGGCUUGGAUUUGGGAGAGGGAUGCGGAAUUCCAGGUGUAGCGGUGAAAUGCGUAGAUAUCUGGAGGAACACCGGUGGCGAAGGCGGCAUCCUGGACCAAUAUUGACGCUGAGGAGCGAAAGCCAGGGGAGCAAACGGG
rnacentral:rRNA from 1 species